rnacentral:rRNA from 1 species
CCUGGCUCAGGACGAACGCUGGCGGCGUGCUUAACACAUGCAAGUCGAACGGACCUUAUUUGGAGGAAGCUUUCGGGUAGACACUGAAUAAGGUUAGUGGCGGACGGGUGAGUAACGCGUAGAUAAUCUACCUUAAAGACUGGGACAACAGUUGGAAACGACUGCUAAUACCGGAUAAGCUAAACGGAAGGCAUCUUCUGUUUAGGAAAGGAGGCCUCUUAACAAUGCUCCCGCUUUUAGAUGAGUCUGCGUCUGAUUAGCUAGUUGGUGGGGUAACGGCUUACCAAGGCGACGAUCAGUAGUCGGCCUGAGAGGGUGACCGGCCACAUUGGGACUGAGACACGGCCCAAACUCCUACGGGAGGCAGCAGUGGGGAAUCUUCCGCAAUGGGCGAAAGCCUGACGGAGCAACGCCGCGUGAUCGAAUGAAGGCCUUCGGGUUGUAAAGAUCUGUUGACAGGGACGAAUAAGCCAUGCGAAUAGUUUGGUGUAUGACGGUACCUGUUUAGAAAGCUCCGGCUAACUACGUGCCAGCAGCCGCGGUAAUACGUAGGGAGCAAGCGUUGUCCGGAAUUACUGGGCGUAAAGGGCGCGUAGGUGGGUGCUUAAGUCAGGUGUGAAAACUCUGGGCUCAACCUGGAGACUGCACUUGAAACUGGGUAUCUUGAGGGCAGGAGAGGAAAGUGGAAUUCCUAGUGUAGCGGUGAAAUGCGUAGAUAUUAGGAGGAACACCAGUGGCGAAGGCGACUUUCUGGACUGUACCUGACGCUGAGGCGCGAAAGCGUGGGUAGCGAACGGGAUUAGAUACCCCGGUAGUCCACGCCGUAAACGAUGAAUACUAGGUGUAGGAGGUAUCGACUCCUUCUGUGCCGCAGCAAACGCAAUAAGUAUUCCGCCUGGGGACUACGGUCGCAAGACUAAAACUCAAAGGAAUUGACGGGGACCCGCACAAGCGGUGGAGCAUGUGGUUUAAUUCGACGCAACGCGAAGAACCUUACCAGGGCUUGACAUCCCUCGCUAUCUGUGGAAACACGGAGUUCCGUAGCUUGCUACGGACGAGGAGACAGGUGGUGCAUGGUUGUCGUCAGCUCGUGUCGUGAGAUGUUGGGUUAAGUCCCGCAACGAGCGCAACCCCUACGUCCAGUUGCCAGCACGUUAAGGUGGGAACUCUGGAGGAACUGCCGGUGACAAACCGGAGGAAGGCGGGGAUGACGUCAAAUCAUCAUGCCCCUUAUGGCCAGGGCUACACACGUGCUACAAUGGCCGGUACAGAGGGCGGCGAAGCCGCGAGGUGGAGCGAAUCCCAAAAAGCCGGUCUAAGUUCGGACUGCAGGCUGCAACUCGCCUGCAUGAAGUCGGAAUCGCUAGUAAUCGCGAGUCAGCAUAUCGCGGUGAAUACGUUCCUCGGGUCUUGCACUCACCGCCCGUCA